rnacentral:lncRNA from 1 species
UUAGAAAUUGGCAGUGUUGAAAUUCAAACCCAGAUUUGAUAAGUUUGUUUUUUUCUACCAAAAGACACUGACCAUCAAACAGUAUUUUCUAAAACCUACUUUAUUCCCUUUUGUCAAUAGGAUUUCCCUGCUUACAUCUUCAAAAUCCUUAGAAAUUCCAGAUAUGCUAUGAUAAUGAUAAUUUUAUAAUGUCUCCCUUAAUUGUCAGACACAAGUGUUUCAAAAUCUUAGAAAUGUGAGGGAGAGAAUAAAGGGAGGAAGUAGAGAGUAAACUCUAAGAAUAUCUGCUUGGGACAAGUGAAUUCAGAUGUGGUUUGCAAAUUAUUAAUAUUAGUGGGAUUUAAUCUAGUUUAGUCAGGAUUAGGUUCCACAUUAAGUCAGAGCAUAGGAAAUGGCAGGGGUGGAGGGGUGGAGGUGGGGCUUAGUUCAAAGCAGUUAGCAAGGCUUUGAUAGGCUCUGAUCCAGUGACAGAGGUAAUAGCUCAAGGUAAGGCUCACUGGAAAAGAUAGGAUGUCAGGCCCCUGGUGAACUGAGUAGGCAACCAUCCAUCAACAGGACAAAAGCAGAAGGAAGGAGAAAUGCAAUGGAGCUACAGAAGUGACCACCCUCCUUCUCAGGACUCUGAAAUCUGGAUCCAGGCUCCAUCACACAGUUGGAAAGACUUGGGAAUUCAGAUGGCAUUUGAGAAGUAUAUCAGAAAAUCACAUUUGAAAAAAAAGAAAAUCACAUUUGAAAUUAUAUUCUUCAUUGGAAGGCAUUUAUUGUUAAUUACUGUUACGUUUACCAUACUGAUCUUCCAACAUGAUUCUAACUACAUUUGUCUGAAUAGAUAUCGCUUCCAAAAUUCUGGCUCUCAGUUCCUCGAUCCCCUUUCUCCUCCAAUAACUUCAUCCUUCAUACUGCCUCAACCACUCACUCUCAUGGUCAUAGCCUAGAAAUUGUCACUACCAAUGUUUAUAGACCUACCAAAAUCUCAAUUUCUAACUAUUCUUCUCCAUCCUCAAAACUCCAACAUUUUGCUGCCUAUCCUCACACUAAUUGGUGCCCUUGCUUCCUUUUGCUCUGAAAAAAUAGAAGUAUUCCUUUAUUGUCUUUUCAACACAGCAGCUAGAUUGAUCUUGUUAGAGUGUAAGUCGGAUAAUGCCAUUCCUUUGAUGAGAAACUACUUUCAUGUCUUAUCAUGGUCAGUACAAAAGCCAUACCCUAUAAAGCCUAAGAGUAAAGUGUUUAAAAAGUACUAUUAAUAAGUGGACUAGGACAACAGGCAUGAAUCAGGAAUCUUCCAAGCAAACUGAGAAGUAUAUUUCACCCACCUGGGUCUUAAACAUUCUCCAAGAUAUCUUCUCCAUUUGUUCUCUCACCUCCUUCAAAUCUAGUCCUUCUAUUGGGCCACUAUCUAAAACUACCAUAUACCUAAUCUCUAUCUUCUUUUUCCUGUUUUUUUCUUCUCUUUAGCCAUUAUUGCCAUCUACUAAACAUUUUACUUACUUAUUUUGAUACUGCUGUGUUCCAACACAAGUAUGUAAGUUUCCUUUGGGCAGAGAUGUGAGAGAGGGGCUUUUUUUAAAAAAUUCUAGAACUGGGAUGGCUGGGUGGCUCAGCGGUUUAGUGCCUGCCUUCAGCCCAGGGCAUGAUCCUAGAGACUUGGGAUCAAGUCCCACAUCAGACUCCCUGCCUGGAGCCUGCUUCUCCCUCUGCCUAUGACUCUGCCUCUCUCUCUCUCUCUGUGUCUCUCAUGAAUAAAUGAAUAAAAUCUUUAAAAAAUAAUAAAAUUCCAGAACUGGAAUAAUAUAGAAGACUAGAAGGCCUUCAGUCAACAUUUACCUUUGAGUCUGACUGAAAACAAUGAAAGUUCUUUCUCAGCUCAGGCAGUCUCACUCA